rnacentral:rRNA from 1 species
GAUGAACGCUGGCGGCGUGCCUAAUACAUGCAAGUCGAGCGAACGGACGAGAAGCUUGCUUCUCUGAUGUUAGCGGCGGACGGGUGAGUAACACGUGGAUAACCUACCCAUAAGACUGGGAUAACUUCGGGAAACCGGAGCUAAUACCGGAUAAUAUUUUGAACCGCAUGGUUCAAAAGUGAAAGACGGUCUUGCUGUCACUUAUAGAUGGAUCCGCGCUGCAUUAGCUAGUUGGUAAGGUAACGGCUUACCAAGGCAACGAUGCAUAGCCGACCUGAGAGGGUGAUCGGCCACAUUGGAACUGAGACACGGUCCAGACUCCUACGGGAGGCAGCAGUAGGGAAUCUUCCGCAAUGGGCGAAAGCCUGACGGAGCAACGCCGCGUGAGUGAUGAAGGUCUUCGGAUCGUAAAACUCUGUUAUUAGGGAAGAACAUAUGUGUAAGUAACUGUGCACAUCUUGACGGUACCUAAUCAGAAAGCCACGGCUAACUACGUG